rnacentral:snRNA from 1 species
GGGUGAUCUUGCUAUAAAAUCUGAAAUCUCAUUAAUCGCCUGAGUGGAUUCGGCUGAUCUGGCUGGCUUGGCAGGGUCCCCUUUCACCAUCUUUGCUCCAUAUGCAUUUCUACUGAAAUUUUACAUUUAAUAUAACCUUAAUUUUUUAUUGAAGACAUAACUCUUAAAUAGGCUCUG